UACGGAGGGUGCAAGCGUUGUCCGGAUUUAUUGGGUUUAAAGGGUGCGUAGGUGGUUUAAUAAGUCAGUGGUGAAAUGUAACAGCUCAACUGUUAACGUGCCAUUGAUACUGUUAGACUUGAGUAUCGUUGAGGUAGGCGGAAUUUAUGAUGUAGCGGUGAAAUGCAUAGAUAUCAUAAAGAACACCGAUAGCGAAGGCAGCUUACUAAACGAUAACUGACACUGAGGCACGAAAGCGUGGGGAGCGAACAGG
rnacentral:rRNA from 1 species